AUAGCUCUAUGGUAGAGCAUUUGCCUAGCAUGAAUAAGUCCCUGGUUCAAUUCCAGGU
rnacentral:tRNA from 1 species